UUUGAAACUCAGUUGGCAUGAGUGAAAAGGAAGAAGUUCACAGACAGGAUGGCAUCAUGAUAAGUAAACUCCAGUGGUGUGUUAAAGAUGGCUUGUACGGGCUUGUGAGAAUUACCAGCUAAUCUUCUGGAGUUUUGUAAGCUGGCUAUUAAACACAGCCAUUGCCCAAAAUCAAAUUAUAUAAAAUCAUGUUAAAAUUAAAGGUAAUAAAUAUAACUCAUUAUUUCCUAA
rnacentral:lncRNA from 10 species